GCCUGGUGGGCUGCAGUCCAUGGGGUCGCUAAGAGUGGGACACGACUGAGAGACUUCACUUUCACUUUUCACUUUCAUUCAUUGGAGGAGGAAAUGGCAGCCCACUCCAGUGUUCUUGCCUGGAGAGUCCCAGGGACAGCGGGGCCUGGUGGGCUGCCGUCUAUGGGGUCGCACAGAGUCGGACACGACUGAAGCGACUUAACAGCAGCAGCAGUGGAAAAACCAAAUACCACAAUACAGUUACAUCUCACGAUUUGUUAAUAUUUUGUUAAGUUUUUCCCUAAACAUCUGCUGCUAAGUCACUUCAGUCGUGUCCAAAACAUCUGCAGCCUUGGAAUAAUGUGAGUUUGGAUGGAGGGUGACGAGGAAUGGGCUGGUAUCCACCUUCCAGGCACCACCUUCGCGUUAGGACUCGGGGACCACAUGGACCCUACAGCUGACGCAGUUUGGAACUCUGGCCCCUACUCACAACAGGAAGGUUCAAAUGAGAUGAUAAAUUGUGGGAAGUUAGGAGGUUACUAAUCUGUCAUAAUACGGUUUAAAUGAGGUUCCGUCCAGAAGCCACGGGAGAGGAAGGGGCAGGCAACGGGCAGAGUCCAAGCAGCCGUGUGCAUCCAGCAGGUUUUAAGAUGCUGAGUCGAGGAGUCUUAGCUCCUGGAGGAGACUAUGGAGAGCCUCUGGUUUCCAGUCCCUGCAGGGGCCAAAAGGUAAGGAAACAGCUACAGUGGCCAGCGGGGGAUGGGGAAGCCUGCAGACCAGAGCCCAGUCUAAAGAGAGCUGCUGCUGCUGCUGCUAAGUCACUUCAGUCAUGUCCGACUCUGUGCGACCCCACAGACGGCAGCCCACCAGGCUCUCCUGUCCCUGGGAUUCUCCAGGCAAGAACACUGGAGUGGGUUGCCAUUUCCUUCUCCAAUGCAUGAAAGUGAAAAGUCAAAGUGAAGUCGCUCAGUCGUGUCCGACUCUUAGCGACCCCAUGGACUGCAGCCUACCAGCCUCCUCCAUCCAUGGGAUUUUCCAGGCAAGAAUACUGGAGUGGGGUGCCAUCGCCUUCUCCGCUAAAGAGAGCACUGUCCCUCAAUGCCAGCCCGCAGUUCCCUAGGGAACCCAGCAGGGCAAGAGCGUCUCUUCCAGUUAUUCAAGAGAAGCUGGAAAUCUAGACUUGAUGCAAAUGAUUCCAAUUUUUUAAUGUUGGCAAUUAACUCAAAAAAAUGUGAAAGUGAGGGCCAAACAAAACAUGUCUCUUGGCUGAACUGAGAUGUGACCUCAGACUGAAUCCAAUUCUCUUCAUUUUACGAAAGAGGCCUGGAGGGGGUGAAGUCGACUGCCUGGUCGGCUCUGGGCUGGUCUGGGGACGGAGCUGGGACCAGAUGGAGUGCGCCUUCCCGUCCUGUGCUGUUUCUCCCACUUUUGGUCCCAGCAGUAGCAGCAGACUAUUUAGAUAAGCACGUGACAAGUUUCCACCCAGGCACACAUGUCAGUAAGACUUCUGCCUGAUGGACUGGACUUGACACAAACAGGAGACCCAACGACAAACUAUACCCGCUCUCCACUUAAUCCCGGUUGGAGUCUAGCUCCCGACAUUUUGGGGUGCAUAUGGGGAAAAGAAAGGAAAGGCUGAAAAAUUUCACCCUCAGAGAAUCUGUGGAAGGAAUGGGAAAGUCUGCAUUUUCUGGCAGAAAUUAUUUUGAAUUACUAAUUAUAAACGUGAGCUGGCUUGGGAAGAUCUUUUACUUGGCUUCCCGGAAAGUAGUUACAGGGUCUCCAUUCCUGGCUCUGUGGCCACUUCGAGGCACAGGGCUUUGCCAAGAACUUAUGUUUCCCAUGUCACAAGAGGAGAUGAACCUGCUGGCUAAGAGCGUGGACUCUGGAGCCAGAUGGCCUGGGUUCAAAUCCACAUCCUGCGACUCACCAGCCGCGUGAUCUUGCAGAGAGCACGGGACUUGGCUGUGCCUGCAUCUUCUCACCCAUAAAACGGAAACAGAAUCCGCACCUCUCUUCUAAGAGAGCCACAAGGAUCCAACGCGUGGAUACGCAGAAGGCACGGGCUUCCCCGGUGGCCCAGCGGUAAAGAAUCUGCCUGCAAUGCUGGUGACACAGGAGACUCCUAUCGGAUCCCCGGUCAGGAAGAUCCCCUGCAGGAGGAAAUGGCAACCCACUCUGGUAUUCCUGCCCAGAGAAUCCCAUGGAUAGAGGAGCCUGGCGGGCUGCAGUCCAAAGGGUCACACAGAUUCAGACAUGACUGAGCCAUGUAGCAUUCACACAGGCGUAAAGACACAGGGCCAGGGCUGUGUAUGUUG
ensembl:lncRNA